UCCGUAGGUGAACCUGCGGAGGGAUCAUUACCGAGUUUACAACUCCCAAACCCCUGUGAACAUACCUAUACGUUGCCUCGGCGGAUCAGCCCGCGCCCCGUAAAAAGGGACGGCCCGCCCGAGGACCCCUAAACUCUGUUUUUAGUGGAACUUCUGAGUAAAACAAACAAAUAAAUCAAAACUUUCAACAACGGAUCUCUUGGUUCUGGCAUCGAUGAAGAACGCAGCAAAAUGCGAUAAGUAAUGUGAAUUGCAGAAUUCAGUGAAUCAUCGAAUCUUUGAACGCACAUUGCGCCCGCCAGUAUUCUGGCGGGCAUGCCUGUUCGAGCGUCAUUUCAACCCUCAAGCUCAGCUUGGUGUUGGGACUCGCGGUAACCCGCGUUCCCCAAAUCGAUUGGCGGUCACGUCGAGCUUCCAUAGCGUAGUAAUCAUACACCUCGUUACUGGUAAUCGUCGCGGCCACGCCGUAAAACCCCAACUUCUGAAUGUUGACCUCGGAUCAGGUAGGAAUACCCGCUGAACUUAAGCAUAUCAAUAAGUCGGAGG
rnacentral:rRNA from 1 species